GGACAUUUUUCAAGGUGCUGCAUGGUUGUCGUCAGCUCGUGCCGUGAGGUGUUAGGUUAAGUCCUGCAACGAGCGCAACCCCUGUCACUAGUUGCCAUCAUUAAGUUGGGGACUCUAGUGAGACUGCCUACGCAAGUAGAGAGGAAGGUGGGGAUGACGUCAAAUCAUCACGGCCCUUACGCCUUGGGCCACACACGUAAUACAAUGGCCGGUACAGAGGGCAGCUACACUGCGAAGUGAUGCAAAUCUCGAAAGCCGGUCUCAGUUCGGAUUGGAGUCUGCAACUCGACUCUAUGAAGCUGGAAUCGCUAGUAAUCGCGCAUCAGCCAUGGCGCGGUGAAUACGUUCCCGGGCCUUGUACACACCGCCCGUCAAGCCAUGGAAGUCUGGGGUACCUGAAGUCGGUGACCGUAACAGGAGCU
rnacentral:rRNA from 1 species